rnacentral:misc_RNA from 1 species
AUAUCGACACAUUAGCUGGAAAGAAGGAGAAGGUUUCUAUAAAAUGUAUGGCGUUUAGAAAGUUUAAGCAAGUCACUGAGAGGCGUGGAGUCUGAUAUCAAAUUUCCGACGAAGCAUUAACAUUAACGCUCCAUUAAUUCAGCCUUGGAAUUAACAUCACAAUAAGUACGAAUCCAUGUAUAAAGAAGCCAUCCACACCAUGCACAUCAACGGGAAAGCGGCUGCUUUAUUCACGAUUUUCUUUGUCGUGGUUAAUCCAUUGAAAGAAGAUAUAUUUGAAUCCGAACACCGGCUACAAAAUGCCCUGAUGACAAACUACUCGUCGACAGUGAGGCCCGCGACUGAACUCGAUAAACCGGUCCACGUACAGCUGAUGCUUGACUUGAUGAGGAUAGACGAACUGGAUGCUACAAAAGAAACAAUGACAACAACAUUCAUGCUUACUCAGAGACUUGGAAAGACCCGCGUUUGGCGUGGAAUACAUCUCAUUACGGGGGUGUAAAAUCCAUUCGCUUAAAGGAGAGCAGUAUAUGGCGGCCAGACAUUGAAGUUGCAAACCAAGCCCCUGGACUAUCUUUGACCUCGGAAGCUUUGCCACUCAUUUCCUACGACGGAACAGUGAUAUAUGUUCCGUACAAAACCGUCCCCACUUACUGCGCUAUGGACCUUACACUGUUCCCAUAUGACACCCAGAAGUGUAUCAUCAAAUUAACUCCAUGGACCCACAAUGCUCUGGAAAUAGACUUAGGACUCUUCGGCCACUAUCUGAAUACGACGGAUCAGAUGAAAAUACCAAGAGAGAGUCUGUCCGAUUUACAGUGGGAAUUGUUGGAAGGAACGGCAACCCUUUCCUCAAAGAAGUUUGAUUGUUGUCCGGAAAAAUAUUCUUUUUUUGAAGUCAGCCUGCAGAUGAGCAGGAACACUAACUUCUACCGUUAUGUUGUGACGUGGCCGUCGGUGGUUGCAUGCUUCCUUGUUCCAUUUCUUUUCGCCUUACCUUCACAUUCAUCUCAGAAAAUAACAUAUGGUCUUGCGCUCAUGAUUUUUGAAUCAAUAAUCAUUUUGACUUUUGCCGAAACAAACUCGUUCGACCACAAAACAGUUCCAAAUAUAGCCAUCUUCCAUCUGAUUACUCUUAUAUUGACGUCCACGAGUCUGCUGUUGUCCAUAUUUAUCGUCUCGAUAAGUUGUGGUGACAUGAGAAAGCACGUGCCAGCAUGGUUACAACGACUUGCAUUGACCGAUUCCUGCUUGAGAACGGUUCUCUGUCUGGGCCAGUACAGGGAUUCCAAAGGAUACUCAAGCGGAAGGGGAGGAGGUUUCCUGCUGGAGGAAACACACGAGACUCACCACCACGAGCCAGAACUACGGACUAUCUCCGAAAAUGAGGUCACGAGAGACGUGUCUGAGUCCCUCAGGGCUAUAGCAGAGAAGAUGUCGUCAGAUGAAUCUAGGAUCAAGGUCACGCAAGACUGGAGAGAAGUUGGCAGGCUACUUGACCGUGUUCUGUUUUUUCUUUGCAUUUUAACAGUUUUGGUAUUGCUUAUCUGGUCAGCACGCCUGUGGUCCGGUUGAUUCCACAGCAGAAUGGUGCACACUAAGCGAAAAUAAAUCCUUUCAUAGUUUUAUAAUCUUAAUAUGAUAUGAUUUUCGUAUGUUCCACUGCUUAUUGUAGAUACAUAGAAUGUUUUUUGUCCAUUGAAAUCGAUUCCAAAAAAUUUGCAAUGUAUAUUUUAUAACUUUAUAAUUGCUCAUAUACAUGUAAUAUAUUCAAAAUUACUGAUUUUAACUUUAAAAUAAAUAUCAGUAGUCACC